CUUAACUGAGAGUGGAAUCCAAUGUGGACUUGCUUAAUUAUAUUCUCAAUUUGUGUUUUUUCUAUCAUUAUUUUCAACGUAUUCAUGGAUGUAACGUUGGAUGUCGAAUUAUUUGCUUUAUAUUAUUAACUUUAUCGUUUAGACAAGAAGCUGCACAUGGUGGUCUUGGAAUAUGAAAUAUACCGUAUAAAAUAACCCAUCUAGAAAACGAAAGAAAUUAUUAGUCCCACGAAAGAGAAUUUUAAAAGUUUAUAUUGCUUGACUUUGGUGUUAAUUAUUAUGUUAAUUAAAUCAGCAG
rnacentral:lncRNA from 1 species